rnacentral:lncRNA from 1 species
AGACUGGAGUGGAGAAAGACUGUUGAAGUGUUGGUUUAACCUUAGAGGUAGGCUGGAGUGGAGAAGACUGUUGAAGUGUUGGUUUAACCUUAGAGGUAGGCUGGUGUGGAGAAGACUGUUGAAGUGUUGGUUUAACCUUAGAGGUAGGCUGGAGUGGAGAAGACUGUUGAAGUGUUGAUUUAACCUUAGAGGUAGGCUGGAGAGGAGAAGACUGUUGAAGUGUUGGUUUAAAUUAGAGGUAGGCUGGAGAAGAGAAUGACUGUUGAAGUGUUGGUUUAACCUUAGAGGUAGGCUGGCGAGGAGAAGACUGUUGAAGUGUUGGUUUACCUUAGAGGUAGGCUGGGUGGGAAGACUGUUGAGUGUUGGUUUAACCUUAGAGGUAGGCUGGUGGAGAAGAUGGUGAAGUGUUGAUAACCUUAGAGAUAGGCUGGAGAGGAGAAGACUGUUGAAGUGUUGGUUUAA